CACCAUGACUUAUGAUGUGGUGG
rnacentral:siRNA from 1 species